rnacentral:rRNA from 1 species
AACGAACGCUGGCGGCAUGCUUAACACAUGCAAGUCGAACGGGCACGCCCUGGUCAGCGGCGGACGGGGGGGUGAGGAGUGGGAACAAACCUUUAGGUACGCGACGAUUAAGGGAGAGAUAAGUUAAUAAAGCAGAAUAUCAUAGCAGCUAAGAGCUGUGGCUUAAAGAUUGGCCCUCGUUAGAUUAGGUGGGUGGUGGGGUACUGGCCAACCAAGGCGACGUGAUAUAGGUGGUGUGAGAGGAGGAGCACCCACGCUGGAACUGAGACACGGUCCAGACUCCUACGGGAGGCAGGAGUAAUGAAUACUGGAGAAUGGGCGAAAGUCUGAUCCAGCCAUGCCGCGUGAGUGAUGAAGGUCGUAGGAUUGUAAAGCCCUUUUAGAUGGGACGAUAGUGACGGUACCAGCAGAAGAAGCCCCGGCUAACUUCGUG